rnacentral:rRNA from 1 species
GACGAACGCUGGCGGCGUGCUUAACACAUGCAAGUCGAACGGUAAGGCCUUUCGGGGUAGCCGAGCGGCGAACGGGGGAGCAACACGUGGGUGAUUUGCUCUGCAUCUCCGGUUAAGCCUGGGAUAACGGGGCUAAUAUCACGCAUGUCCCCCUUUCGCCCGACGGGUGGAGGAAGGGUUUAUCGGUGCAGGAUGGGCGCGCGGGCGAUCAGCUCGGUGGUGGGGUAAUGGCAUACAAAGGCGACGACGGGUAGCCGACCUUAGCAGGUCACCGGGCACACUGGGACUGCGACACGGACCAGAGUCCAACGUGAGGCAGCAGUGGGGAAUAUUACACAAUGGGCGAGCGCCUGAGGCAGCGACGUCGCGUGUGGGAUGACGUCCUUCGGGUUGUAAACCUCUUUCGGCAGAGACGAAGCGGAAGUGACGGUACCUGCAGAAGAAGCACCGGCUAACUACGUG